GACGAACGCUGGCGGCGUGCCUAAUACAUGCAAGUCGAACGAGAGCGACCGGUGCUUGCUCUGGUCAAUCUAGUGGCGAACGGGUGAGUAACACGUGGGUAACCUGCCCAUCAGAGGGGGAUAACAUCCGGAAACGGAUGCUAAAACCGCAUAGGUCUUCGAACCGCAUGGUUUGAAGAGGAAAAGAGGCGCAAGCUUCUGCUGAUGGAUGGACCCGCGGUGCAUUAGCUAGUUGGUGAGGUAACGGCUCACCAAGGCCGUGAUGCAUAGCCGACCUGAGAGGGUGAUCGGCCACAUUGGGACUGAGACACGGCCCAAACUCCUACGGGAGGCAGCAGUAGGGAAUCUUCCGCAAUGGACGCAAGUCUGACGGAGCAACGCCGCGUGAGUGAAGAAGGUUUUCGGAUCGUAAAACUCUGUUGUUAGAGAAGAACAAGUGCUAGAGUAACUGUUAGCGCCUUGACGGUAUCUAAACAGAAAGCCACGGCUAACUACGUG
rnacentral:rRNA from 1 species